UCUUGGGGCGUGGCCAGGACUUGCAAGCUGACUCGAGGAGACCCUUAGUUCCAGAGCCACAACUGUCCUCACCUGACAGUUCUUGGGAACCUGGAGACCGUUGACCAGGCUGAGGGCUGACACAGGACACCUCGGAACGCUGUCCCAGGAUCAUGUGGCCACCGCUGAUACUGCUGUUUCUGCUGCUUCCUGCUGCGCAUGGCGCACCCCACCCGGCUGCGGACCUCCAGGAAAACUUUCCAAGCGUACUCGAAGAAAUCCAAACUGAAGGAGACAGAGGCAUGUGGAUGGAAGACAACCCGUUUGCUGGCUCCCGUUGUUCUCUUGGCUCAUGAGGAGGUGGCUUCUGUGUGGUCCAGAAGCUGGGGUCAAGGACCUGUAGCCUCAUGAAGGCCUGCCAGGCACAGGAUUGGGAGCUCUCCACUCCUCCUCCUCCUCCUCUCAAAACCUUCUUCUGGUCUCCUCCAGGGCCCUUCCGCUGCUGAAGGGGGGCGGGGCUGGGGGUGGACACCAGUCCUAGCAGGGACAAAGGUGGAACUCACCAGACCCACCUGCAGCACCAUUUCAAAAUAAAAGUAAAAUUUCAAGUUUAU